GUCGGCAGCGUCAGAUGUGUAUAAGAGACAGGUGCGUAAUAGCUCACUGGUCGAGAGACCCUGCGCCGAAGAUUCCCGGGGCUAAAGUACGAAACCGAAGCUGUGGCUGUAUACGUAAAGUAUACGGGGUAGGGGAGCGUUCCCAUAGGGUAGAAGUCGAACUGGAAGGUUCGGUGGACUUGUGGGAAGUGAGAAUGUUGGUAUGAGUAGCGAAAAGAAAGGUGAGAAUCCUUUCCACCGAAAGCAUAAGGAUUCCUGAGCAACGAUCGUCGUCUCAGGGUAAGUCGGGACCUAAUCCGAGGCAGAGAGCGUAGGAGAUGGACAACUGGUUGAUAUUCCAGUACCGGUAGUAAUUGUUUGAGCAAUGGAGUGACACAGAAGGGCAGGCAAGCAUGCGAAUGGAAGAGCAUGUGUAAGCGUGUAGGGUGGUGCAUAGGCAAAUCCGUGCACUGAAAGCCUGAGGCGUGAUGCGGAGUGAGCAGAGAUGCGAGCGAAGUUGUUGACCCCACACUGUCGAGAAAAGCUUCUAGUGAGAGAGCUACCGCCCGUACCGUAAACCGACACAGGUAUGCGGGGAGAGAAUCCUAAGGUGCGCGGGAGAACCCUCGUUAAGGAACUCGGCAAAAUGUACCCGUAACUUCGGGAUAAGGGUAGCCACUGUUGUGAAGUCCCAUGCGGAUGGAGCAUAGAGUGGUCGCAGAGAAGAGGCCCAAGCGACUGUUUACCAUAAACACAGGUGCCUGCUAAAGCGAAAGCUGACGUAUAGGUGCUGACACCUGCCCAGUGCCGGAAGGUUAAGGAAGGAUGUUCGGAUUAGUCCAAAGCAUUCGACUGAAGCCCCGGUGAACGGCGGCCGUAACUAUAACGGUCCUAAGGUAGCGAAAUUCCUUGUCGGGUAAGUUCCGACCCGCACGAAAGGUGUAACGAUUUGGGCACUGUCUCAACGAGGGACCCGGUGAAAUUGAAAUACCUGUGAAGAUGCAGGUUACCCGCGACUGGACAGAAAGACCCCAUGGAGCUUUACUGUAACCUGACAUUGGGUUUUGAUACAUUACGUACAGGAUAGGUGGGAGGCAUGGAAAGCUGGACGCUAGUCUGGCUGGAGCCGACGUUGGGAUACCACCCUUGAUGUAUUGAAAUUCUAACCGCGAGAGUAACGAAAUCCGGGACAGUGUCAGGCGGGCAGUUUGACUGGGGCGGUCGCCUCCGAAAGAGUAACGGAGGCGCCCAAAGGUUCCCUCAGCGCGGCCGGAAAUCGCGCGAAGAGUGUAAAGGCAGAAGGGAGCUUGACUGCGAGUCAAACACGACGAGCAGGUACGAAAGUAGGGCUUAGUGAUCCGGUGGUACCGAGUGGAAGGGCCAUCGCUCAACGGAUAAAAGCUACCCUGGGGAUAACAGGCUAAUCUCUCCCAAGAGUCCAUAUCGACGGGGAGGUUUGGCACCUCGAUGUCGGCUCAUCACAUCCUGGGGCUGAAGUCGGUCCCAAGGGUUGGGCUGUUCGCCCAUUAAAGUGGUACGUGAGCUGGGUUCAGAACGUCGUGAGACAGUUCGGUCCCUAUCCAUCGCGGGCGCAAGAGAUUUGAAGGGGGCUGCUCCUAGUACGAGAGGACCGGAGUGGACGAACCGCUGGUGUACCAAUUAUCCCGCCAGGGGUACAGUUGGGUAGCUACGUUCGGAAAGGAUAAACGCUGAAAGCAUCUAAGCGUGAAACCAGCCUUAAGAUGAGAUCUCUCAUAGAGCAAUCUAGU
rnacentral:rRNA from 1 species